AGGACGAACGCUGGCGGCGCGCUUAACACAUGCAAGUCGAGCGAGAACCAUUCCUUCGGGAAUGGGGACAGCGGCGAACGGGUGAGUAACACGUGGGUAAUCUGCCCUCGAUUCUGGGAUAGCCCGGGGAAACCCGGAUUAAUACCGGAUAGCCUCUCGAGCUUUCGAGCUCUUGAGAAAAGGUGCUUCGGCCUCCGAUCGAGGAUGACGCCCGCGGCGGAUUAGCUUGUUGGUGGGUAAUCGGCCUACCGAAGGCAACGAUCCGUAGCUGGUCUGGAGAGGACGAUCAGCCACACGUGGGACUGAGACGACGGCCCAGACCUCCGUACGGGACGGCAGCGAGGUGGGAAUCGUGCG
rnacentral:rRNA from 1 species